GCAGUGGCAGCUCAGUGGUAGAAUGCUCGCCUUCCAUGCAAGAGACCUGGGUUCGAUUCCCGACCAGUGCA
rnacentral:tRNA from 1 species